rnacentral:rRNA from 1 species
AGUAACGCGUAUGCAAUCUACCUUUCACAGAGGGAUAGCCCAGAGAAAUUUGGAUUAAUACCUCAUAGUAUUAUUGAGUGGCAUCACUUAAUAAUUAAAGUCACAACGGUGAAAGAUGAGCAUGCGUCCCAUUAGCUAGUUGGUAAGGUAACGGCUUACCAAGGCAACGAUGGGUAGGGGUCCUGAGAGGGAGAUCCCCCACACUGGUACUGAGACACGGACCAGACUCCUACGGGAGGCAGCAGUGAGGAAUAUUGGACAAUGGGCGCAAGCCUGAUCCAGCCAUGCCGCGUGCAGGAUGACGGUCCUAUGGAUUGUAAACUGCUUUUGUACGAGAAGAAACACUGCUUCGUGAAGCAGCUUGACGGUAUCGUAAGAAUAAGGAUCGGCUAACUCCGUGCCAGCAGCCGCGGUAAUACGGAGGAUCCAAGCGUUAUCCGGAAUCAUUGGGUUUAAAGGGUCCGUAGGCGGUUUAGUAAGUCAGUGGUGAAAGCCCAUCGCUCAACGGUGGAACGGCCAUUGAUACUGCUGAACUUGAAUUAUUAGGAAGUAACUAGAAUAUGUAGUGUAGCGGUGAAAUGCUUAGAGAUUACAUGGAAUACCAAUUGCGAAGGCAGGUUACUACUAAUUGAUUGACGCUGAUGGACGAAAGCGUGGGGAGCGAACAGGAUUAGAUACCCUGGUAGUCCACGCCGUAAACGAUGGAUACUAGCUGUUGGGAGCAAUCUCAGUGGCUAAGCGAAAGUGAUAAGUAUCCCACCUGGGGAGUACGUUCGCAAGAAUGAAACUCAAAGGAAUUGACGGGGGCCCGCACAAGCGGUGGAGCAUGUGGUUUAAUUCGAUG